UGACAGUGAGAAAUCAUUGCUAAUACCGCAUAUGCCAUGAACAUCACAUGAUGAAAGUGGGAAAAGAGUAAUCUGCUAGUAGAUGGGCUCGCGUCUGAUUAGAUAGUUGGUGGGGUAACGGCCUACCAAGUCGACGAUCAGUAGCCGGACUGAGAGGUUGAACGGCCACAUUGGGACUGAGAUACGGCCCAGACUCCUACGGGAGGCAGCAGUCGGGAAUAUUGCGCAAUGGAGGAAACUCUGACGCAGUGACGCCGCGUAUAGGAAGAAGGUUUUCGGAUUGUAAACUAUUGUCGUUAGGGAAGAUACAAGACAGUACCUAAGGAGGAAGCUCCGGCUAACUACGUGCCAGCAGCCGCGGUAAUACGUAGGGAGCAAGCGUUAUCCGGAUUUAUUGGGUGUAAAGGGUGCGUAGACGGGAAAGCAAGUUAGUUGUGAAAUCCCUCGGCUUAACUGAGGAACUGCAACUAAAACUGUUUUUCUUGAGUGUUGGAGAGGAAAGUGGAAUUCCUAGUGUAGCGGUGAAAUGCGUAGAUAUUAGGAGGAACACCGGUGGCGAAGGCGACUUUCUGGACAAUAACUGACGUUGAGGCACGAAAGUGUGGGGAGCAAACAGGAUUAGAUACCCUGGUAGUCCACACCGU
rnacentral:rRNA from 1 species